rnacentral:sRNA from 1 species
CCGAGUGAGGUGUACAUUGCUGUCCUGCAGAGAUCCAGGCUGCACGCAGCGGACUGGGCAGGCCGGGCCCGGGCACUGGUGGGUGACAGUCAUACUUCAUGGAGCCCAGCGAGCAUCCCGGGCAAGCACUACCAGGCCGUGGGUCUGCACCUCUGGAAGGUGGAGAAGCGGCGGGUCAAUCUGCCUAGGGUCCUGUCCACGCCCCCCGUGGCUGGCACCGCGUGCCACGCAUACGACCGGGAGGUCCACCUGCGUUGUGAGCUCUCACCAGGCUACUACCUGGCUGUCCCCAGCACCUUCCUGAAGGAUGUGCCAGGGGAGUUCCUGCUCCGAGUCUUCUCUACCGGGCGAGUCUCCCUUAGGUGAGAGGAACCGCGCAGUGCUGCUGGCUCUCCGAGGCCGCAGCCUCUGGAGGACCACAGGCCCUUCCAAGACAGGAUUUGGGCACUUUGCGUCUGUGGUUGGCAGGUGUCCACGUGGGGACUGAGGCCGCCGGGAACCUGCUGCCAGCGCCCUCCCAUGUUUGUCUUCUUGGCAGCGCUAUCAGGGCAGUGGCCAAG